GAUGAACGCUGGCGGCGUGCCUAAUACAUGCAAGUCGAGCGAACGGACGAGAAGCUUGCUUCUCUGAUGUUAGCGGCGGACGGGUGAGUAACACGUGGAUAAUCUACCUAUAAGACUGGGAUAACUUCGGGAAACCGGAGCUAAUACCGGAUAAUAUUUUGAACCGCAUGGUUCAAAAGUGAAAGACGGUCUUGCUGUCACUUAUAGAUGGAUCCGCGCUGCAUUAGCUAGUUGGUAAGGUAACGGCUUACCAAGGCAACGAUGCAUAGCCGACCUGAGAGGGUGAUCGGCCACACUGGAACUGAGACACGGUCCAGGCUCCUACGGGAGGCAGCAGUAGGGAAUCUUCCGCAAUGGGCGAAAGCCUGACGGAGCAACGCCGCGUGAGUGAUGAAGGUCUUCGGAUCGUAAAACUCUGUUAUUAGGGAAGAACAUAUGUGUAAGUAACUGUGCACAUCUUGACGGUACCUAAUCAGAAAGCCACGGCUAACUACGUG
rnacentral:rRNA from 1 species